UCAGCUGUGAUGAUUGAUUCCAAAACCAUUCGUAGUUUCCACCAGAAUUCUUGGUGUUGGCCAUUUCCUUCCUUGGAUGUCUGAGCGA
rnacentral:snoRNA from 1 species